GGUCAGUACCUGUCCAGCCUUCCAGAAGUUUGAGAGGGCGAAGACUGUGGCGCCGGAGUUGAAGCACGUCAAAGUUGUUUUACCAUGGCACAUGAUCGGUGAGACUGAACAUGGACAAGGCGCAGGAGAAACAGAAGGAGAGCUACCGGAGCAGAGUCAAGAAGGGGACCAAGUGCUACGACAUCCGGGCAAAUGACUUGGUUUGGAAGAAGAACGAAAGGAAGGCAGAGACCUUGAAAACCUCGCUGCUCCUAGCUGUGGUCACGAUCUGUUAAAGGUUACCUAGGGUUACCUAAGGUUACCUAGGAAGCUAACCAUCUUCUGCAGUUGGACGGUCUACCACUGGAAGCAUUGACGCCCUACACUUCAGUGAAGCCCAAUUUACAAAGGAGGUUAAGCUUUGGUUGACAUUUGAGAAAGCAAGAAAUGGUUGUUAUACUAAGCUUACAAAAAUGUACCUCUUCAAUUUACCUCUCCAAAUGACUUUAGGACCAUCGACUGUCCGAGCCCCCCAGGAGGUAUCCCAUCUACCAGAACCAGUGAGUUCGGAUCAGUCUGAUUCUCUGUGCUCUGAGUCGGAGGGGGACUAGCUUGAGAGCUAGGGGUUUUGGCCAACACCCAGAUCCACCUGAUGUCCUCCAUUACCAACCAUUGUUUUCAUUACCUCAUCUACAGCUACUGUUGUCAUUACGUCAUCUACAGCUACGGUUAUCAUUAUCUGCUAAGAAAGCUGUCUUGCGCUAUCAUACUGGGCACAUAAUAUGUGAGAGACACAGAUUAACUAAAAACAUUAGCACUGAAAAUCCUCUGAACAAAGCGAACAGCAGUGCCUGGACUUCGCAGUCUCCUUCUUCAAGUCCCCCCUUCUGAGACUGGGUGCCUGUUGAGAACAAGUGACAGGCAGAAUCUCCCACCCACACAGCAACCACCUCCUAUAUUCCACACACCAGAAUUAUGUAUUUAGUCUAUGAUUGCCAUGUGAAAAUAAAUUAAUGACACAACUGUACCAAAAAAUAUCAACGUUUCUGUGUUACAAUCUUAAAUAUUGACGGGUUGGUUUUCACAACAUGUUCAUUGCUGUAAGGUAUCCUUUGAUGGUAUUUAUUUGUUCCUCAUUAUUCAUUGAAUGUAGUAAAUUCUGCCGUAGGGAAAGCGUGCAUCUCACAGGUGAGGGCAACGACCUCUUCCUUGAGUUUGAGAGCUGAUCCCUCUUUUGUUCUAGCAAGAGCUGUGCUCUUGGGGUAAUUCUCAAAAUGCAUUUAUUUUUAAUUUUUAAAAGGAAGUGUCAGGGAACAUUGUUUUUUACAUGUAUCUAACCUUUGUGUAGUGACAGUGUCCAUAUAUACUGUACUUCCAUAAAUGUUUUAUACUGGUAUAAGGGGACUUUAUGUAUUAACCUAUCAAGAUCAAAUAUUGUAGUUGGGCAACAUAUGAGAUGUGAAUAUAAAACAUUUCAUUCUGAAGUUGGAGUGUACUUUCUCUUGAUUCAGCUCAAAUAACGGCCGUCAUUGAUUUAAAGAAAUGUUGUGACAUUUUUUACGUGGUUGCGUCAUAUUUCUUUGCGUACUUUCUAUUGAAGCUUGCAUCAAUGCAUGCUUCAAAAUAUGUACAAACGGAGUUUGCAUUUUGAGAAGUGCCCUCCAUGCUCCAUUUCGCAUGCUUUCAUUUGGAAUCGUACUCCGAUCCUCCCGUGCUCCAAUUUUCGUUGUAUGCAUUUUGAGAAUUACCCAUCGACUUUGACAGACCAUUUAAAUUUCUUGAAUCCUUCCUUCCAAAAUGAUUUUGUUCAUUUACUCAAUAGUGAUUUCACGUUUAUUUAUCUUGCUUGGUUAAAAUACAAUACUCAAAAACAGUCGAUUUGUUGACUCAUUUAAUCACGUUAAAACCCAUUUCCUUUUCUUUUGACUGUGUGCUACUACAGGCGGCAACCUGAUCUCAUACCAUUUCUUAUUAUUCUGUAUGGAUAUUUUUAUGUGUAAGUAUUCAUUUGUGGAUGUCCAUCUAUUUCACAUAAUAUGUUAUGAGUUACAAUUCAUAUGGUAUGUUACGAAUUGCAGUUGUAUGAUAUGUUAUGAAUUUCAAUUGUAAACUAUGUUAUGAACGCAAUACGUAGGAUAUGUUGCCAAUUCCAAUUUGUUGUAACUAAAGUUAGCUAGGUGUCUAAUGCUAAUGUUAGCUAGGCUAGGGGUUACGGUUAGGAGUGAGGUGAAAGGGUUAAGGUUAGGAGUUAUGUUCAAGGUUAGUGUUAGGGGAAGUGUUAGCUAACAUGCUAAGUAGUUGCAAAGUAGCUAAAAAGUAGUAAGUAGAUGCAAAGCUGGUAAUUGGACAAAAUGCUAGUUGUCCAUGAGAUUUGAACACUCAGUUUUUGGGUUGCUAGACAUUUGCUUAUACGACUAACCAACCUAAUUUUUGUAUGAAAGGAGAAUUUUCCUCUUUCUGAAGUCAAUCUAAAUGUUUUAUGUAAAUGAAAUGUUAUAGUCGGUUCCAGACACUUUUUCUGUGAUUUGGCUUGUUUUUGAUAAACUUACCCCAGCUUCGAUUCACUUUCUCAUUGCUCUUUGUACAGCAUCAGGGCAUGCAAAAGACAUGAUUAAACUCCAAAAACACCUAAACACAUCAUUUUAGUAAUGGACAUGCUCUCUUUAUAGUGAGGUCUAGGUUGCGCCCUGAUACUACACAACAAGCAAUGAGGAAGUGAAUCGCA